GUGGGGAAUUUUGGACAAUGGGCGCAAGCCUGAUCCAGCAAUGCCGCGUGUGUGAAGAAGGCCUUCGGGUUGUAAAGCACUUUUGUCCGGAAAGAAAUGGCCUGGGUUAAUACCCCGGGUCGAUGACGGUACCGGAAGAAUAAGCACCGGCUAACUACGUGCCAGCAGCCGCGGUAAUACGUAGGGUGCGAGCGUUAAUCGGAAUUACUGGGCGUAAAGCGUGCGCAGGCGGCGAUGCAAGACAGAUGUGAAAUCCCCGGGCUCAACCUGGGAACUGCAUUUGUGACUGCAUGGCUAGAGUGCGUCAGAGGGGGGUGGAAUUCCGCGUGUAGCAGUGAAAUGCGUAGAGAUGCGGAGGAACACCGAUGGCGAAGGCAGCCCCCUGGGAUGACACUGACGCUCAUGCACGAAAGCGUGGGGAGCAAACAGGAUUAGAUACCCGAGUAGUCC
rnacentral:rRNA from 1 species